UACGUAGGGUGCAAGCGUUGUCCGGAAUUAUUGGGCGUAAAGAGCUCGUAGGCGGUCUGUCGCGUCUGCUGUGAAAACUCAGGGCUUAACCCUGAGCUUGCAGUGGGUACGGGCAGACUAGGGUGCGGUAGGGGAGACUGGAAUUCCUGGUGUAGCGGUGAAAUGCGCAGAUAUCAGGAGGAACACCGGUGGCGAAGGCGGGUCUCUGGGCCGUAACUGACGCUGAGGAGCGAAAGCAU
rnacentral:rRNA from 1 species